UACGAACGCUGGCGGCAGGCCUAAAACAUGCAAGUCGAACGCCCCGCAAGGGGAGUGGCGCACGGGUGAGUAACGCGUGGGAACGUGCCCCUUAGUACGGGACAACGUCGGGAAACUGACGCUAAUACCGUAUAAUAUCUCCGGAUCAAAGAUUUAUCGCUGAGGGAGCGGCCCGCGUCUGAUUAGCUAGUUGGUGAGGUAAAGGCUCACCAAGGCUACGAUCAGUAGCAGGUCUGAGAGGAUGGUCUGCCACACUGGGACUGAGACACGGCCCAGACUCCUACGGGAGGCAGCAGUUAGGAAUAUUGGACAAUGGGGGAAACCCUGAUCCAGCCAUGCCGCGUGUGUGAUGAGGGCCCUAGGGUUGUAAAGCACUUUCGUUGGGGAUGAUAAUGACCGUACCCAAAGAAGAAGCCACGGCUAAAUUCGUGCCAGCCGCCGCUGUAA
rnacentral:rRNA from 1 species